rnacentral:rRNA from 1 species
AUUGAACGCUGGCGGCAGGCCUAACACAUGCAAGUCGAGCGAGCGGCGGACGGGUGAGUAAUGUAUGGGGACUGCCCGCUAGAGGGGGAUAACUACUGGAAACGGUAGCUAAUACCGCAUACUACCGGAUAACCCAUAUGGGAUUAGCUAGUAGGUGAGGUAAUGGCUCACCUAGGCGACGAUCCCUAGCUGGUCUGAGAGGAUGAUCAGCCACACGGGGACUGAGACACGGCCCAGAUUCCUAUGGAGGCAGGCGUCGGGAGUAUUGAAGAAUGGGAGAAAGCCUGAUGCAGCCAAGCCGCGCAUAGGAAUAAGGACGUACGGUUGAAAAGUCCCGUCAGGCGGGAGGCGUCGGCUUAAGAAGAAGCAGCGGCUAACUCCAUGCCAGCAGCCGCGGUAAUAC